rnacentral:rRNA from 1 species
UACGGGGGGGGUAAGCGUUGUCCGGAAUCAUUGGGCGUAAAGAGCUCGUAGGCGGCUCAGUAAGUCGGGUGUGAAACCCUCAGGCUCAACCUGGGGACGCCACCCGAUACUGCUGUGGCUAGAGUCCAGUAGAGGAGUGUGGAAUUCCCGGUGUAGCGGUGAAAUGCGCAGAUAUCGGGAGGAACACCAACGGCGAAGGCAGCACUCUGGGCUGGAACUGACGCUGAGGAGCGAAAGCGUGGGUAGCAAACAGG